CAAUAGCGUAUAUUAAAGUUGUUGCGGUUAAAAAGCUCGUAGUUGGAUUUCUGCCGAGGACGACCGGUCCGCCCUCUGGGCGAGUAUCUGGCUCGGCCUGGGCAUCUUCUUGGAGAGCGUAGCUGCACUUGACUGUGUGGUGCGGUAUCCAGGACUUUUACUUUGAGGAAAUUAGAGUGUUUCAAGCAGGCUUACGCCUUGAAUACAUUAGCAUGGAAUAAUAAGAUAGGACCUCGGUUCUAUUUUGUUGGUUUCUAGAGCUGAGGUAAUGAUUAAUAGGGAUAGUUGGGGGCAUUCGUAUUUAACUGUCAGAGGUGAAAUUCUUGGAUUUGUUAGAGACGGACUACUGCGAAAGCAUUUGCCAAGGAUGUUUNCAUUGA
rnacentral:rRNA from 1 species